rnacentral:lncRNA from 13 species
CUCUGAUUUAUCAGCUUUGUUUAAAGAUCAAAGCGUUUAGUGUAAAUAAGUUGAAGUUGGAAACAGUCUGACUUCUUGCAUGUUUAUUUUCUCUGUUAAUGAGAAGAAUGACCUAAUCCAAAAUGAUUGUCACUUUUUCUAAAAAUUCAAAGUGAAGAAAUCAUUUAGUUGCUGUGCAAGUAGAAAAGCAGUUCAACACUGGAUGCAGAGGCUGCAGAAUCAAGGUCUGCCAAGAAGAAUACAGUCCAGAUAAACUGGCAAAAUCAACAGUCCAGAUAACCAAGAAAAAAAGAAAGAAAGAAAAAAAGAGCUAUGCCAGCACAGAAGAUGCAAAAACCCCUAGAAGAUUCAUGAUCUCAACUUGACCCAGAGAAGGAACCAGCAAAGAGCAGCUGUUUGACCAUGAGGGAAGUGAACGCUGAGGAAAUAGAGAGCAACGUGGGACUCGUGCCUGUGUCCUCCUCCCCUGCCUGGCCUGCCUCAGCUCAGGACACAGCUGCAGCUCCCUGGGGAGAGGGUCCUUACCUGAGACUUCUAGCUUAAGGAACGAGCCUCUGUGCGACACAUCAAAUCACUCCUCUGUGUAAUAAAUUGGGCCAGUCCUUUAGCUUCACAUGUCCUUUAGUUUUAUUCUUAUCUCAUACAAGCCCAAAUAAGAGAAGCCUGAAACAUCUGUCUUGAUCCAAGCAAAAACAGAUAGCUCAGAAUACUUGAUUUACACCAAGGAACAAACCUGUUUAGACAAACCAGUCCGCUAAGUUUUUCUGAGUUCCACCUUACACCAGAAACAAAAAGACCUGGUAGAAACACCUCAGUUUGGGUGUUGGUCUGUGACAUAUUUUAACAUCUUCUGUGCAACAGCUCUUGAGACCACGUUGCGGGGUGUAUACGUCUCAGAGAUUGACAGAAAGGUGCUUUGUAAAGGUACAUGGCACUUCUACACUGCUGUGAUAUAAUGGGUUGUUAGUGACUUGUCAGUUCAUGUUUUCAAUUACUGUUAUUACUAUUAUUUUUAAACUGUGGGAGUUUCUAAAAUUGCUUUAUAUCAGAUAAUAAGUAUACUCAUUCUUCAGUUACACUAAUUAGAGUUCUGAGUUUGAUUCUGCCACCUCAAUGGCUCCAAGAGCUGGGACUGGUUACCAUAUACACAAAGCUCUUCGCUCUUUUCCAUAAAUAAAUUACAACCUUAAAUUUUUAACCCUUGAUAUCCCAAAGACCAUCUUUCCUACCUCUGGCUUUUCCACUGCUCAUUCCUGUUAUUUCUUUAGAGUUUCUCUCCCACCAAAUGAUGUAUCCCACAAAAGAAUGAAUAUUUUUGUCUGAAAUAAAAGUGCAAUCCCUAAGCAAUACCCAUCCCACGGCAUACUGCUGUAGAACACAUUUAUUUGAAGAUUUCCGAGUGAACAGCUUCCAUAUUAUCCUCUCCUGGGCUGCUCUUGUGUUUCCUCCCAAUUGUGCAUGCAUUUCCCAGCCCUGGGAGGGGACACUGCUGACCAUUGCCAGGCUACAGUCUGGAACAGCCUAAAAAUGCUGUGCAUGCCCAUCUAGCUGAAAACAAAGCUGGUGAGCAGUGGGUAGAGCUGAGAAACAUCUUGCUUUUAAAAACUGUCUUAAAAAAUACAUCUGAGUCUGGCCUUAAAAGAAGCAAAGUAGCAGAGCAAGUCAAUCAGAGCAAAGAGAGGGGAUGAUUCAGUAGUGUGGCACUACUGCAUGCAAUAAUGUAGGUUAUUACACCAGAAAAAAUAUUUUCCUGAAAAUGUUGUGGUAUUUCACAGAAGAGAGCUCUAAAGGGGCAUUUCAAAGGAAGACCUAACCAAAGAAAGAAAAAAAAAAUCCAGGCCAUAUGAAAUCUUGUAAGAUGGUCCACAAGGAUUUGCAUUAAAGUGCGGAAAAAGGACUAGGUUAUCUAAUAGAAGUGAUUGAAUUUUUUAAAGCCUUGUUUAGGAGACUGUGUAUGCAUUUUAUGGUCCACCUCCUGUCUGGAGAAUAUAAUUUUCUCAGAGAAAAUUGAAAUCUGCCUUUUUAAUGAUUGUAAGUUAAGUAGAGCCCAGAAACUGUGGCAUAACCAGCUCUAUUUAAUCAGGUAAACUGCUUUGCUCCUCACUGGACUAUACUUGCAUGUCAUUCACUUCCCUGCUUACCUUCUCACCCAGAAGUUUGCUGCUCUCCUAUUGCCAGAUUAAGCAUCUCAGCUCAUUUUCUUGCAGUAUGAAUGUAAAGGA